UGGGCUUGACAUGUCCAGAAUUCUGCAGAGAUGCGGGAGUGCCCUUCGGGGAAUCGGAACAC
rnacentral:rRNA from 1 species